rnacentral:rRNA from 1 species
GAUGAACGCUGGCGGCGUGCCUAAUACAUGCAAGUCGAGCGAACAGACGAGGAGCUUGCUCCUCUGACGUUAGCGGCGGACGGGUGAGUACCACGCGGAUAACCUACCUAUAAGACUGGGAUAACUUCGGGAAACCGGAGCUAAUACCGGAUAAUAUAUUGAACGGCAUGGCUCAAUAGUGAAAGACGGUUUUGCUGCCACUUAUAGAUGGAUCAGCGCCUGAUUAGCUAGUUGGUGAGGUAACGGCUUACCAAGGCGACGAUGCGUAGCCGACCUGAGAGGGUGAUCAGCCACACUGGAACUGAGACACGGUCCAGACUCCUACGGGAGGCAGCAGUAGGGAAUCUUGCGCAAUGGGCGAAAGCCUGACGGAGCAACGCCGCGUGAGGGAUGAAGGUCUUCGGAUCGUAAAACUCUGUUGUUAGGAAAGAACAAAUGUUUAAGUAUCUAUGGACGUCUUGACGGUACCUAAACAAAAAGCCACGGCUAACUACGUG